UAUGCUCAAAGUUCCAUAACAAAUUAAACGUAGUGCUCAUCAUUUCUACCCCGGAACGGCGUCGGCGUCAUAUCCACACCGUAACUCAGUCUAUCCCUUCCGAUCCGUGCUCGUCGUCAUAUUCGUCGUCUACGCCUUCAGCCACCGCACCUAUUGAUCUAGCUUGUUUGUUAAUGAAGAGAUAGAUGAUGAAGCAGGAGAGCAGGCAAUAACAAUUCAAGUGCUGUUAGCAGGAUCAAGAACAGUAGGCAUAUAUUUAAGGCAAAAUAUUGAUUCAUCUUGCUGGGUGGCCAAAGGUACACCAAGGCAGAGCCCGUUUGGCGCCCGGUUGCGGCGGCGGGGCUUUGCCACUAGUUGACGACGUUUGAUAUCCUCAUGCGCCUGGUAUACGUGGGAAUCGUGAUAAUGCCACAUCGCAAAUUUAUUCCUCCUUUCACUUUUGGAAUAUAAGAAUCGCCUAAGCUUCUGCAAAUACUCAAUACUGGAUUAUCAUCUCUACUCUGUUUCAAUCUAUGUAUUUUGCCCACUAAGACCACGAGAGGAGAAGGAGUUUAACUAACUCACAUCCUCAGGUAGUGCCUGCGGGUAGUUUCCUCACAUAUAUACACAAUACUGGAUUCAUUAUCAUCAGUUACCAACCUGUAAAUGACUCCCAACAUGUGCUCUCGUUAGUUUCUGCACAUUCAUGGCCUUCAAAAUUUCACUGCUCCUUACAUCCUUCUUCAUCACUUCUAAAACUUUGUUUGGCACUACUCGUUCUCCUGCAUGUAAUCAAAUUUUGAAAUGUACUAAAAUAAUUUUUAAUAAAAAUUCUUUUAAAAGGAAAUUGGUAGAAGAAAAUUUUUUAAGUGUGGGAAAAAUCUGACCUUUAUCGCCUAUUAAGAUAACGGCCUGCAACAAUAUGAGAUGAAAUUCAACAUUCCAGAAGAGGAUCUUCGUGGUAGUUCUGUUUCUGGAUUUUUCUGCCCCGACCCGGCUGAGAUCCAACAAACUCGGCCAUCAGCUUCAGAGUUCAGGCAUCAAUGAGUGAAUGAAUGAAUGAUUGAUUGAUUAAUGAAGGAUGAGGUGACUGAGAAGUCUGCAGACAGUCACACACUGUAAACACAUAUAUAUACAGUUUAUGGAUUUUCCUGGAA